GUGCUUUAGGGAUGAACAAGUCCCUAACAUUCAAUGCUUCCAUCCGAUUCACUUUGUCAGCUCUGUAUUUUCGUAUUUUGCUGAUCAUUGUAGGAUGGAAUAUUU
rfam:Cajanus cajan CcLG08_165, whole genome shotgun sequence.